GCUUAACACAUGCAAGUCGAGCGGUAACAUUUCUAGCUUGCUAGAAGAUGACGAGCGGCGGACGGGUGAGUAACGCGUAGGAAUCUGCCUAGUAGUGGGGGACAACAUGUGGAAACGCAUGCUAAUACCGCAUACGCCCUACGGGGGAAAGGAGGGGAUCUUCGGACCUUUCGCUAUUAGAUGAGCCUGCGUGAGAUUAGCUAGUUGGUGGGGUAAAGGCCUACCAAGGCGACGAUCUCUAGCUGGUCUGAGAGGAUGAUCAGCCACACUGGGACUGAGACACGGCCCAGACUCCUACGGGAGGCAGCAGUGGGGAAUAUUGGACAAUGGGCGCAAGCCUGAUCCAGCCAUGCCGCGUGUGUGAAGAAGGCCUUAGGGUUGUAAAGCACUUUCAGGAGUGAGGAAGGGCGUAUAGUUAAUACCUGUAUGUUUUGACGUUAACUCCAGAAGAAGCACCGGCUAACUCUGUGCCAGCAGCCGCGGUAAUACAGAGGGUGCGAGCGUUAAUCGGAAUUACUGGGCGUAAAGCGCGCGUAGGCGGUUUGUUAAGUCGGAUGUGAAAUCCCA
rnacentral:rRNA from 1 species